CGAAGGAUAGUUUAAGGUAAGUAAAAUAUUAAUUUUGGAUAUUAAAGAUAUUCUUUUCUUUCGA
rnacentral:tRNA from 1 species